AUUGAACGCUGGCGGCAGGCCUAACACAUGCAAGUCGAACGAGUGGCGGACGGGUGAGUAAUGUCUGGGAAACUGCCCGAUGGAGGGGGAUAACUACUGGAAACGGUAGCUAAUACCGCAUACCAUCGGAUGUGCCCAGAUGGGAUUCGCUAGUAGGUGGGGUAACGGUUCACCUAGGCGACGAUCCCUAGCUGGUCUGAGAGGAUGACCGGCCACACUGGAACUGGUACACGGUCCAGACUCCUACGGGAGGCAGCGGUGGGGAAUAUUGCACAAUGGGCGCAAGCCGGAUGCAGCCAUGCCGCGUGUAUGAAGAAGGCCGUCGGGUUGUAAAGUACUUUCAGCGAGGAGGCGUUGCUCGCAGAAGAAGCGCCGGCUAACUCCGUGCCAGCAGCCGCGGUAAUAC
rnacentral:rRNA from 1 species